rnacentral:rRNA from 1 species
GACGAACGCCGGCGGCGUGCUUAACACAUGCAAGUCGAACGGAAAGGCCCUGCUUUUAUGGGGUGCUCGAGUGGCGAAAGGGUGAGUAACACGUGAGUAACCUGCCCUUGACUUUGGGAUAACUUCAGGAAACUGGGGCUAAUACCGGAUAGGAGCUCCUGCUGCAUGGUGGGGGGUGGAAAGUUUCGGCGGUUGGGGAUGGACUCGCGGCUUAUCAGCUUGUUGGUGGGGUAGUGGCUUACCAAGGCUUUGACGGGUAGCCGGCCUGAGAGGGUGACCGGCCACAUUGGGACUGAGAUACGGCCCAGACUCCUACGGGAGGCAGCAGUGGGGAAUAUUGCACAAUGGGCGGAAGCCUGAUGCAGCAACGCCGCGUGCGGGAUGACGGCCUUCGGGUUGUAAACCGCUUUCGCCUGUGACGAAGCGUGAGUGACGGUAAUGGGUAAAGAAGCACCGGCUAACUACGUG